GCGUGUGUGAAGAAGGUCUUCGGAUUGUAAAGCACUUUCGGCGGGGACGAUGAUGACGGUACCCGCAGAAGAAGCCCCGGCUAACUUCGUGCCAGCAGCCGCGGUAAUACGAAGGGGGCUAGCGUUGCUCGGAAUUACUGGGCGUAAAGGGCGCGUAGGCGGCGCAUUCAGUCAGGCGUGAAAUUCCUGGGCUUAACCUGGGGGCUGCGCUUGAUACGUUUGUGCUAGAGGUCAGAAGAGGGUCGUGGAAUUCCCAGUGUAGAGGUGAAAUUCGU
rnacentral:rRNA from 1 species